AAUGAACGCUGGCGGCAUGCCUAACACAUGCAAGUCGAACGAGACCUUCGGGUCUAGUGGCGCACGGGUGCGUAACGCGUGGGAAUCUACCCUUGGGUUCGGAAUAACUCGCCGAAAGGCGUGCUAAUACCGGAUAAUGACGUAAGUCCAAAGAUUUAUCGCCCAAGGAUGAGCCCGCGUAGGAUUAGCUAGUUGGUGAGGUAAAAGCUCACCAAGGCGACGAUCCUUAGCUGGCUGAGAGGAUGAUCAGCCACACUGGGACUGAGACACGGCCCAGACUCCUACGGGAGGCAGCAGUGGGGAAUAUUGGACAAUGGGCGAAAGCCUGAUCCAGCAAUGCCGCGUGAGUGAUGAAGGCCUUAGGGUUGUAAAGCUCUUUUACCCGGGAUGAUAAUGACAGUACCGGGAGAAUAAGCUCC
rnacentral:rRNA from 1 species